GUGCCAGCAGCCGCGGUAAUACGGAGAGUGCGAACGUUGUUCGGAUUCACUGGGCGUAAAGGGCACGUAGGCGGCUCAGCAAAUCAGUCGUGGAAUCCCGACGCUUACCGUCGGAACGGCGGCUGAAAAUACUGGGCUUGAGGGCGUGAGGGGUCACUGGAACUCCCGGUGAAGCGGUGAAAUGCGUAGAUAUCGGGAGGAACGCCGGAGGCGAAAGCGAGUGACUGGCGCGUUCCUGACGCUGAGGUGCGAAAGCUAGGGGAGCAAACAGGAUUAGAUACCCCUGUAGUCC
rnacentral:rRNA from 1 species